GUCUCAGUGCUCAGCAGAAGAGCAGUCAGAUGAGUAAGAAGAAGGCAGCAGGAAACCAGGACGAGAUCAUGGUGAUCCGUAAAGGCUGGCUGACCAUCAACAACAUCAGCAUCAUGAAGGGCGGAGCUAAAGAUUACUGGUUCGUCCUGACGGCUGAGUCUCUGUGCUGGUACAAAG